GCUCGGUGCCACCACAUUGAACUGGGCUGUACAGUGAGAAGGGCACGGAGAGAUGGUGAGAUGGUGGCUGCAUGAAUGUGUGGCACAGGCUCACCUUGUUCAGUUGGAAACACCACGCAUGGUGAGAAGGGUCGGCUUGUUAUCCGAUAGCCAGAGCCCGCAUUGCUUUGGUUCCAGGAUGAAGACUCAGCCUGUUCUGUGGAACCAAACCCCCAAUUACUGAUAACAAUCCAUGAUCGAUUACCAUCAGCAG